UACCAGUGAAUACCCUAGUAAGAUAGUAUGGGCUCCUUGGUGUAUAUGUGCCACAUUUUCUUAAUCCAGUCCAAGCUCAAGCUCAGGUGAUCCUCUCACCUCAGCCUCCUGAGUAGCUGGGACCACAGGCACCUGCCAACACACCUGGCUAUUUUUUUCCUUUUUGAGCCACAGUCUCACUUUCGCCCAGGCUGGAGUGCAGUGACACAAUCUCGGCUCACUGCAACCUCCGCCUCCCAGGUUCAAGUGAUUCUCUUGCCUCAGCCUCCUGAGUAGCUGGGAUUACAGGCGCCUGCCACCAUGCUCAGCAAUUUUUUUUUUUUUUUGUACUUUCAGUAAAGACGGGGUUUCGCCAUGUUGGCCAAGCUGCUCUCAAACUCCUGACCUCAGGUGAUUUGCCUGCCUCGGCCUCCCAUUAUCUUUUGUAGAGACAGAGUUUCACCUUGCUGGCCAAGCUGGUCUCAAACCUGAUCUCAAGCAACUGGCCCGCCUAGGCCUCAGAAGUGUUGGAAUUACAGGCGUGAGCCAUCACACGCAGCCCGUCUCUUCUUGUAAAGACACUGGUCAUGUUUGAUUAGGAUCUAUCCUAAUAACAUCAUUUUAUCUUCAUUACAUCUACAAAGUCCUUAUAUACAAAUAAGGCCACAUUCACAGGUACUGGGGCUUAGACUUCAACAUAUAUUUUUGUUGGGGUGGGGCACAAUUUAACCCAUAACACCCUAUGUCUAAAGUAGCCCCACCCCACUCUCUCUGGUCAUGAUCAUUUCACCUUAUCCGAAGCAAUCUUGCUUAUUUAUGAGUUUAGUUGUGUGUUGGCUGUCUUCCUCACUGAACGUAAACUCCAUGAGAGCAAGAACUUUGCUUACCUGGAAUGUCACUAUGUCCAUAAUGCCCAAAAUGAUGCAUAAUAAACACUUGUUUGAAUGAAUGAAAUAAACUACAAUCAAACAGUGAAAACUAUAGGGCAACAGA
rnacentral:lncRNA from 1 species